rnacentral:rRNA from 1 species
UACGUAGGGUGCGAGCGUUGUCCGGAAUUAUUGGGCGUAAAGGGCUCGUAGGCGGUCUGUCACGUCGGGAGUGAAAACACGGGGCUUAACCCCGUGCCUGCUUCCGAUACGGGCAGACUAGAGGUAUGCAGGGGAGAACGGAAUUCCUGGUGUAGCGGUGAAAUGCGCAGAUAUCAGGAGGAACACCGGUGGCGAAGGCAGUUCUCUGGGCAUUACCUGACGCUGAGGAGCGAAAGUGUGGGGAGCGAACAGG